rnacentral:tRNA from 1 species
UAGCUCAGAGGAUAAAGCAUCUGCCUGCAAUGCAGGAGACCCGGGUUUGAUCCCUGG